UACGUAGGGGGCAAGCGUUGUCCGGAUUUAUUAGGCGUAAAGAGCGUGUAGGCGGCCAGACAGGUCCGUUGUGAAAACUCGAGGCUCAACCUCGAGACGUCGAUGGAAACCGUCUGGCUAGAGUCCGGAAGAGGAGAGUGGAAUUCCUGGUGUAGCGGUGAAAUGCGCAGAUAUCAGGAAGAACACCUAUGGCGAAGGCAGCACUCUGGGACGGUACUGACGCUGAGACGCGAAAGCGUGGGGAGCGAACAGG
rnacentral:rRNA from 1 species